rnacentral:lncRNA from 1 species
AUGAAAGUUUCAAAAUGGAAGUUAGGAAUUCUUUGUUUUAUAAGUGGAUGUGUAAUGUCUGGUCAGGUGGAUGCUUGUAUUCCUGAUAGAGUUCCAAUGGGACUCUUAAUCACAGAUUGCCCUUAUCCACAACUGAAAACUCUUGAGAUGCAGAGGACUCUUGCCCUAAAAAUCAUUCUUUCCUUUUCUUUUUUUCUACCCACAGAAGCCCCAAGACAGCAACCUGCUGAACCUGAACCAGCCCCAAGGCAACAAACUAGGAAAAGUAAAGGAGAACCAGGCGAACCACCUGAAGGAGAACCAGGUCCACCACCUGAAGGAGAACCAGGUCCACCACCUGAAGGAGAACCAGGCGAACCACCUGAAGGAGAACCAGGUCCACCACCUGAAGGCUCUUCACUUCUUCUAAGGGAGGAGCCAUCUCAGACCUAGCCACAAGCCUACUCACACCAAUAUCUUCAAGGAGAGAAGAAGAAGAAGAAAUAGGUAUUUGGAAAGAUUUCUAUUCUUUAGAUGUGCUGAGAUCAGCUGAACAUAACAAUAUCUAAUUUUUCCACCCAUUUUAUAUUUGGGUCCCUUCAUUUCUCUUCUAUCUUCUACUUACACUUAUGAAAGCUUAAAUGUAUGGAUGAUUUUGUGAUGAAUAUGAACUCUGGCCAAGUGGAUACUUGCAUUCUUCAAGUAAUUCCACUGGUCCUUCAUCAAUAUUACUUUAUCCACAUCUGAAACCUCUUGAGAUUCAUAGGACUCUUGCCUAAACAUUACUCAUUUUUUAUUUUUUCUACCCAGGAGAACCCAGGCGAACCACCUGAAGGUAAGUAAUAUGUCAUCUCUAAACACUCCUUUCUUUCCCCUUUUCUUGAGGACCCUAGACCUUGUCCUCAUUUUAAACCAUUUGGCACUCCACUCUUAAAGUUCAGUACCAAGAAGAGAGGGUAAUAAUGAACUAACAGGGUGGUCAGCUUAAAAGGCUUGUUUUCUCU